rnacentral:rRNA from 1 species
GACGAACGCUGGCGGCGUGCUUAACACAUGCAAGUCGAGCGGUAAGGCCCUUUCGGGGGUACACGAGCGGCGAACGGGUGAGUAACACGUGGGUGACCUGCCCUCAGCUCUGGGAUAAGCCUGGGAAACCGGGUCUAAUACUGGAUAUGACUCCAUGACGCAUGUUGUGGGAUGGAAAGCCUUGUGGCGGCUGAGGAUGGGCCCGCGGCCUAUCAGCUUGUUGGGUGGGGUGAUGGCCUACCAAGGCGACGACGGGUAGCCGGCCUGAGAGGGCGACCGGCCACACUGGGACUGAGACACGGCCCAGACU